AAGUUGCACAGUAGCGAUCUAAAAAAGAAAAAUCAAGAUUUGGGUUUGGUUUGAUAUUUAGAGAAAAGAAAUGGGUUUCUCAGAGGUAGAGAAAGCAUGCAAGGAGCACCCAUACCACAAUCAAAAGCAAGGGGUUUGUCCAUCAUGUUUAAGAGAAAGAUUAUCUCAACUUUAUGUAGUUGUUUCAAGCAACAAAGAAGCAGUGGCACCAUCUUCUUCUUCGAUGUCUUUUUCCUCUGCUUCAUCUUCGACCCAUAUAUCUCCAGUUAUUCAUCAUCAUCGUCAUCAGCGAAACAUUUCUGAUAUUAUGGGUUCCAUAUCUUUCAGGGUAAGUGCAGGAAGUGGGUUAAAGAAGAGUAGAUCGAUCGCUUUUGUGUCGAGAAGCAGCCUUGUUGGAGAGUUGAAGCACGGGACGAAGAAGAAUAAGAAAGGUUUUUGGUCAAAGUUACUUCAUUUGAAGGGAAAGAAUAAGGAGGCUAAUAUUGGUGGAAAGAUCGCUUUGAAUGUAUAGACUUUGCUUCAAAAAAGGAAGGAGGGGUAGCGGUACCGAAGUUGUCUCCAUGGCUACGUGCUCUCAAGCUCUCGAGUUCGAGAUUCAGGAUUUCAAGUCCUUUAAUUUGAAUUUUAGUCAGAAUCAAUUGUACCAAACAAA
rnacentral:misc_RNA from 1 species